CCGACCUUAGCUCAGUUGGUAGAGCAGAGGACUGUAGAUCCUUAGGUCGCUGGUUCGAAUCCGGCAGGUCGGA
rnacentral:tRNA from 1 species